rnacentral:rRNA from 1 species
UACGUAGGGGGCUAGCGUUGUCCGGAAUCAUUGGGCGUAAAGGGUUCGCAGGCGGUUAUGCAAGCCAGAUGUAAAAGGCAGUGGCUUAACUAGUGUAAGCAUUUGAAACUGCAUAUCUUGAGAAGAGUAGAGGUAAGAGGAAUUUUUAGUGUAGCGGUGAAAUGCGUAGAUAUUAAAAAGAAUACCGGUGGCGAAGGCGACUUACUGGGCUCAGACUGACGCUGAGGUACGAAAGCGUGGGGAGCAAAGGGG